GUCAAUGUGGUAUAGUGGUUAUGGCACCUGGCUAGAAACUAGGAGACCGUGAGUCCUAAUCUCACUUUAGGCA
rnacentral:tRNA from 1 species